AAGGCCUUGUGAAGCAGUUCGAACCCUCGACCGGCGCUUUCGAAGGUUUGGACGUUUUUGAAAAUAACAUCAAGCCUGCUUAUAGACAUGUUUUGAUGAAGGUUCGACCAAUCUGUCAGACGACCUGCCAACGUUUUAACAGUGAGAGAUUGGUUGAAGAUGUGGAGGAUGAAGGAGUGAACAAUAGAGAGAGCGCGGUUCCUCCACAAAACACCAAAGCAAACGAAGAUCCGGCAGAGCACGAAGAUUGCGUGCAAGAUAAUCCUGGCCAUUGCAGCACCUGUGAAUAUCGGGAUAGAAAUACAUUGAAGAAAGUCGGGUCGUUCUUUAAAAGCAUAUGGAAACCCGUUAAGAGAUCCGUGCAGAAGGUGUAUAAAAUGGCAAAAAGUGGAGAAUGCGAGUACGUUCAGUUCGAGUAAGGAUCUCUUUGUUUCCAUCUAUCCAUCGACAAUAAGAUCUGCUCUAUGAUUUGCUAUAAAUUAUUUUCUGGAUUUAGGCCGAGUUGGCUUUGGAUAUGAUUUUUUCUGAAAAUCAUCGAUGACUUGAAUCCUUCUCCUGAUUUUGACAUCCCGAUUGCGUCAAUACCAAUUUCGAUUAUGACCUCCCAAUUUUGACUUUGUCCUGGC
rnacentral:misc_RNA from 1 species